rnacentral:rRNA from 1 species
AUUGAACGCUGGCGGUAGGCUUAACACAUGCAAGUCGUGCGAGAAAGUACCUUCGGGUGCGAGUAGAGCGGCGGACGGGUGAGUAACGCGUAGGAAUCUACCUAGUAGAAGGGGAUAGCCCGGGGAAACUCGGAUUAAUACCGUAUACCUCCUUAGGGAGAAAGAGGGCUUAGCUUUGAUGCUCUCGCUAUUAGAUGAGCCUGCGUAAGAUUAGCUUGUUGGUGAGGUAAUGGCUCACCAAGGCGACGAUCUUUAGCUGGUCUGAGAGGACGAUCAGCCACAUUGGGACUGAGACACGGCCCAGACUCCUACGGGAGGCAGCAGUGGGGAAUAUUGGACAAUGGGCGCAAGCCUGAUCAAGCCAUACCGCGUGUGUGAAGAAGGCUUUCGGUUGUAAGCACUUAAGUAAGGAGGAAAGAAUUGUAGUUAUACCUGCAGUCCGUGACGUUACUUACAGAAUAAGGACCGGCUAAUUCCGUGCCAGCAGCCGCGGU